GCGCUUACUUUGGCAGCACAUAUGCUAAAAUUGGAAUGAUACAGAGAAGAUUAACAUGGCCCCUGUGCAAGGAUGACAUACAAAUGCAUAAAGCAUAAUGUACAGCA